AUGCGAGUGUGGCCCCUUUGCAUUACGAGCUGCCGGAGCCAGAGCUCAGAACUUGCUUGGACGCGGUCUGCAAGGGGCUGGGCGUGGGGCUGAACGGCUUCUCUUCCUCUCCUGCAGCAGAGCCACAGCACAUGCACACCUUACCACAAAGCUCCCGUCUUCACCACUCGCAUUCCUGGCCACCAGAGAGGGUCCUGCCCAAGGGCACCCUGCAACAUCGUCAUGCUUCAUCGUUGCAAGGGCCACAAGAUGCACCAGGGCUGAGAUGGCAACCAGGAGCAAAGGAGUGCCUGGUGAGGUGUACUCUGACAUGGACACAAAGCUGAUAAAAGACUGCCUGGUAUGCCAGAGAGAGCAGGAUCCCUGGAAGAGAUGGCCAUCUGGACUUCCCAGGACCACAGGCCAAGCACAGUGGCUCAUGACUAUAAUCCCAGAACUUUGGAAGGCUGAGAAGUCUCACUAC
ensembl:lncRNA novel transcript